AAAAAAGGUAAGCUACUAAGAGCGAAUGGUGGAUGCCUUGACUGGUAAAGGCGAUGAAGGACGUACUAGACUGCGAUAAGCUACGGGGAGCUGUCAAGAAGCUUUGAUCCGUAGAUUUCCGAAUGGGGCAACCCAAUGUAUAGAGAUAUACAUUACCUAUAUAGGAGCGAACGAGGGGAAUUGAAACAUCUUAGUACCCUCAGGAAAAGAAAUCAAUAGAGAUUGCGUCAGUAGCGGCGAGCGAAAGCGCAAGAGGGCAAACCCAGUGCUUGCACUGGGGGUUGUAGGACUGCAAUGUGCAAGAGGUGAGUUUAGCAGAACAUUCUGGAAAGUAUAGCCAUAGAGGGUGAUAGUCCCGUAUGCGAAAAACAAACCUUAGCUAGCAGUAUCCUGAGUAGGGCGGGACACGAGAAAUCCUGUCUGAAGCUGGGUCGACCACGAUCCAACCCUAAAUACUAAUACCAGAUCGAUAGUGCACAAGUACCGUGAGGGAAAGGUGAAAAGAACUGAGGUGAUCAGAGUGAAAUAGAACCUGAAACCAUUUGCUUACAAUCAUUCAGAGCCCUAUGUAGCAAUACAGGGUGAUGGACUGCCUUUUGCAUAAUGAGCCUGCGAGUUGUGGUGUCUGGCAAGGUUAAGCAAACGCGAAGCCGUAGCGAAAGCGAGUCUGAAUAGGGCGCUUAGUCAGAUGCUGCAGACCCGAAACGAAGUGAUCUAUCCAUGAGCAAGUUGAAGCUAGUGUAAGAACUAGUGGAGGACUGAACCCAUAGGCGUUGAAAAGCCCCGGGAUGACUUGUGGAUAGGGGUGAAAGGCCAAUCAAACUUCGUGAUAGCUGGUUCUCUCCGAAAUAUAUUUAGGUAUAGCGUUGUGUCGUAAUAUAAGGGGGUAGAGCACUGAAUGGGCUAGGGCAUACACCAAUGUACCAAACCCUAUCAAACUCCGAAUACCUUAUAUGUAAUCACAGCAGUCAGGCGGCGAGUGAUAAAAUCCGUCGUCAAGAGGGAAACAACCCAGACUACCAGCUAAGGUCCCUAAAUCUUACUUAAGUGGAAAACGAUGUGAAGUUACUUAAACAACCAGGAGGUUGGCUUAGAAGCAGCCAUCCUUUAAAGAAAGCGUAAUAGCUCACUGGUCUAGUGAUUUUGCGCGGAAAAUAUAACGGGGCUAAAGUAAGUACCGAAGCUGUAGACUUGCGCACAACUUAGAUUAUUUAAGUUUAGAAUAUGAGAAACUAAGUUAUAUGUUUAGUUAUAUUUUUACUGAUUUUUAUAGAGUAAAGAUAGAAAUAAAACUUAGUAAAAUCAGUAAAAAUAUUCUUAGACUAAAGUUAAGUAGUUUAAGUUGUGUGCAAGUGGUAGGAGAGCGUUCUAUUUGCGUCGAAGGUAUACCGGUAAGGAGUGCUGGAGCGAAUAGAAGUGAGCAUGCAGGCAUGAGUAGCGAUAAUUAAUGUGAGAAUCAUUAACGCCGUAAACCCAAGGUUUCCUACGCGAUGCUCGUCAUCGUAGGGUUAGUCGGGUCCUAAGUCGAGUCCGAAAGGGGUAGACGAUGGCAAAUUGGUUAAUAUUCCAAUACCAACAUUAGUGUGCGAUGGAAGGACGCUUAGGGCUAAGGGGGCUAGCGGAUGGAAGUGCUAGUCUAA
rnacentral:rRNA from 1 species